CACCGAAGGCUUAAAGUAGGACAACCAUGGAGCCUUCCUGUGGCAGGAGAGACAACAAAGCGCUAUUAUCCUAAGCUUUUCCAGAAGCCUGUUAAAAGCAAGGUCUCCCCACAAGCAACUUCUCUGCCACAUCGCCACCCCGUGCCUUUUGAUCUAGCACAGACCCUUCACCCCUCACCUCGAUGCAGCCAGUAGCUUGGAUCCUUGUGGGCAUGAUCCAUAAUCGGUUUCAAGGUAAUAGCCUGCAGCUGGUGUUUUGAGAAGCCCUACUGCUGAAAACUUAACAAUUUUGUGUAAUAAAAAUGGAGAAGCUCUAAA
rnacentral:lncRNA from 1 species